AACGAACGCUGGCGGCAUGCCUAACACAUGCAAGUCGAACGAGACCUUCGGGUCUAGUGGCGCACGGGUGCGUAACGCGUGGGAAUCUGCCCUUGGGUUCGGAAUAACAGUUGGAAACGACUGCUAAUACCGGAUGAUGACGUAAGUCCAAAGAUUUAUCGCCCAAGGAUGAGCCCGCGUAGGAUUAGCUAGUUGGUGAGGUAAAGGCCCACCAAGGCGACGAUCCUUAGCUGGUCUGAGAGGAUGAUCAGCCACACUGGGACUGAGACACGGCCCAGACUCCUACGGGAGGCAGCAGUGGGGGAAUAUUGGACAAUGGGCGAAAGCCUGAUCCAGCAAUGCCGCGUGAGUGAUGAAGGCCUUAGGGUUGUAAAGCUCUUUUACCCGGGAUGAUAAUGACAGUACCGGGAGAAUAAGCUCCGGCUAACUCCGUGCCAGCAGCCGCGGUAAU
rnacentral:rRNA from 1 species